rnacentral:misc_RNA from 1 species
UGUCAACCGUAUAAACGUACGUCAAUUAUACGGAAAUGGACUGUUGGCGAUUUUAUUAAUUUUUAUACGAAAGAAAUACAAUUUAUUAUCGAGUAAACAGGAGCGGGAAGAUAUUUUUAUACAUGGAAUUGAUCAACGACGCUGCAUUUCCAUCAGUGAGAUGAAGAGGCGAUCGAUGAGUUGGACGCAUCGACGAUGGGAUUUCUCCGUUUCGACCGCCCUAAUCGUUCUAACGCUCGCGAUAUUCUCAUCCGCAACCUCGACGGGAUCCGACGAUCGUCGACUCGGCAACGACUCACGCGGUUCUCCGAAGGG